rnacentral:rRNA from 1 species
UACGUAGGGACCGAGCGUUGUCCGGAUUCAUUGGGCGUAAAGAGCUCGUAGGCGGCCACUCAAGUCGAAUGUGAAACCUCGAGGCUCAACCUCGAGCCUGCAUUCGAUACUGGGCGGCUAGAGUCUGGUAGGGGGAUCUGGAAUUCCUGGUGUAGCGGUGGAAUGCGCAGAUAUCAGGAGGAACACCGGUGGCGAAGGCGGGUCUCUGGGCCGGUACUGACGCUGAGGAGCGAAAGCGUGGGGAGCGAACAGG